UACAGAGGUGGCAAGCGUUGUUCGGAAUUACUGGGCGUAAAGGGCUCGUAGGCGGCCAACUAAGUCAGACGUGAAAUCCCCAGGCUUAACCUGGGAACUGCGUCUGAUACUGGAUGGCUUGAAUUCGGGAGAGGGAUGCAGAAUUCCAGGUGUAGCGGUGAAAUGCGUAGAUAUCUGGAGGAAUACCGGUGGCGAAGGCGGCAUCCUGGACCGAGAUUGACGCUGAUGAGCGAAAGCUAGGGGAGCAAACGGG
rnacentral:rRNA from 1 species